rnacentral:rRNA from 1 species
UGGAAAGAUAAAAAAACGUAACAAGGUUUCCGUAGGUGAACCUGCGGAAGGAUCAUUACAGAAUGAAAAGUGCUUAACUGCAUUUUUUCUUACACAUGUGUUUUUCUUUUUUUGAAAACUUUGCUUUGGUAGGCCUUCUAUAUGGGGCCUGCCAGAGAUUAAACUCAACCAAAUUUUAUUUAAUGUCAACCGAUUAUUUAAUAGUCAAAACUUUCAACAACGGAUCUCUUGGUUCUCGCAUCGAUGAAGAACGCAGCGAAAUGCGAUAAGUAAUAUGAAUUGCAGAUAUUCGUGAAUCAUCGAAUCUUUGAACGCACAUUGCGCCCUUUGGUAUUCCAAAGGGCAUGCCUGUUUGAGCGUCAUUUCUCCCUCAAACCCUCGGGUUUGGUGUUGAGCGAUACGCUGGGUUUGCUUGAAAGAAAGGCGGAGUAUAAACUAAUGGAUAGGUUUUUUCCACUCAUUGGUACAAACUCCAAAACUUCUUCCAAAUUCGACCUCAAAUCAGGUAGGACUACCCGCUGAACUUAAGCAUAUCAAAGAGGCGGAGAGGAA